UGUAACAGGUGGGUCUGGACAGAGUGAUGUAGUUGAUGGGGGUGUAACAGGUGGGUCUGGACAGAGUGAUGUAGUUGAUGGGGGUGUAACAGGUGGGUCUGGACAGAGUGAUGUAGUUGAUGGGGGUGUAACAGGUGGGUCUGGACAGAGUGAUGUAGUUGAUGGGGGUGUAACAGGUGGGUCUGGACAGAGUGAUGUAGUUGAUGAGGGUGUAACAGGUGGGUCUGUACAGUGUGAUGUAGUUGAUGAAGAUGGGGGUGUAACAGGUGGGUCUGGACAGAGUGAUGUAGUUGAUGAAGAUGGGGGUGUAACAGGUGGGUAUGGACAGGGUGAUGUAGUUGAUGAAGAUGGGGGUGUAACAGGUGGGUCUGGACAGAGUGAUGUAGUUGAUGAAGAUGGGGGUGUAACAGGUGGGUAUGGACAGAGUGAUGUAGUUGAUGAAGAUGGGGGUGUAACAGGUGGGUCUGGACAGAGUGAUGUAGUUGAUGAAGAUGGGGGUGUAACAGGUGGGUAUGGACAGAGUGAUGUAGUUGAUGAAGAUGGGGGUGUAACAGGUGGGUCUGGACAGAGUGAUGUAGUUGAU